ACGCGGCCGAGCGCGAGGCGGCGCUGCGCCAGCGCAAGGAGCGCCUGCUGGCCGCCGCGCGCCACAGGUACCUGUCGGCGCGCGCGCCGCGGCCCAGCUGAGAGGCGCGCGGCGCCGCCGCCGCCACGCGGCAGCACUUCAAGCGCCUGCUGCUCACGCACACGCGCAACAACCGCUGAGCGGCGCCCCACCCCUCCCUCCCUCCACCCACCCCCGCUGACCCGCUGUAUCCUUUACACUUCGGUGUAGGAUCUGUGCACUCCAUUAUCCAUAAGGCGGGUUUUAGAAUCGCACUGACAGCUCGCUUUGAAGGGAACGUUCUUGAGUGACGCCGAUCGCUCGGCGCCGACGCUUCAUACAUUUCGGCUGUCAGCGCUGACGGUCAGCGUGCGUCAGCGUGACUCUAAAACCAGCCUAACAGGUUUGUUAUUUUCCACUUCUCGAAGACUCGUAUUUUGAAGCGGUGUUAGAUCCUAGAGUAUAGUGUGAUUCAUCUGAUUAUUAAAAUUUAACCAAUCGUUUAAAUCAUAUCGUUCCAGUGACAGAACCUCAGUUGAGUACCUAAUAUGGGUAGAGACACAAAAACUACAGUCUAAAAUCUCUCCUUGUGAAGGAAGUCCCUAUCCAUUUUCUUAGCCGAAGUGGCCGCUAAAAAUUCAGUAAAAAUAUGGAAAAACUACAAACACUUACAAAGUUAGCUAGCAUCCACUAAACGUACAAAACCCAGUGAUAACUUAAGGAACUAUGCCCGUCAGAAUUCAACUGUUUAAAUACGCUCUGUUAUCACUGGAGUUUUCUUAUCUAAAGAACAUACCUAAUUCGUGUGUAGUCACGAGAGGCGGCAGGCGGCGAUCUCAGAGAACCUUCGCAGUCACAGGCAGCGGGUGAUAACCGACUGUGCAGUCACCAACUUUCGUUAGUGACACCCCGUCCCAAAUUCAUGAUACAUAUACAGUAAAUACAUAUUUUCAUCAAACAUUUGGGAGAUUUCACUAGUCAAAGCUGGUGAUUGCAGAGCAAAACCUUUUAUUUAGUUUAUUGCCGGAGUGGCAAGGAACGAUGCGGAUUGCCAUUUUGAUACAAACGGGGCGUAACUGUACCUCUUCUUUUAAAUAAGUUUUCUGUUCAUGAAAAUAAUUCAAGCCCGAGGAAUCUUAAUUCCCAAAGGGCUCGAACUCGCGUUCGAAUAUGGACUCUUAAUCGUAUGGAACGAGCCAUGUAUCGCGCUUUACAUUGUAACUUUCACAUUUUGUGAUAUUUUAAUUAGAAAUUGAAGCGUAGUGUAUAGCGUAAUAUAUUUUUAGGAUUGCCUUUGGUUGAAAUAUCGACCGCUUUUUACUUAACAUACAGAUGCACUUUUUCAACAUAAUCUCCUAGAGUCUACGCUACAUUAUCUUCAGAUGUGUUUUUAAAUAUUAAGUAAAGUUUGCUGAAUCUCUAGGAAAUUAUAUUGUUAAAUUAUCUCAACGUAUCGAGCCUUACUAGCGGCGAACUAUUUAUUUUUCUAUAACCAUUGAGAGUGUAUUUUUCUAUCGAUAAAUUGUAAAUAAUAUAUGCGUUAGAGCGUCGUCCAUAGGCUACUCAUAUUGUUGAUGUUAUUGUUAGCUCAUGAAUAAAUGGCAUCGGUAGGUGUAUUAUUUCUAUCAGAGUUAUUUGUAAAACAUCAGCAAACUCGCACUAGAUUGCUAAGAUCAUGUAAAACAACAUUUGCUUUAUGACUUUUAAAAAUUUGUAUUUUUUUUUCAUAACUACAAACUGACGAAUUUUCAAGUCAGAACUAUUUUGUUGCCUAUGAUAUUAGCUAUCUAACCUGCGAGGUUACCGGUGUUUUACAAAUAACCCUGUAUAACAAAGCAUCAUCCAUCUAAUGCACCUAUCCUACCAUACCAUAAUACUUUUUUGAAAACAAUCUUACAACCAGCGACUUCACAUGGUGUGGAGAUUUAUAUUAUUUAUAUUGCUUAGAAAUUACGCACAGCUCGGUUGCAAGGGUGUUUUCUGUGAUAAAUUAUAAUGAGAUACUAGUGUGUUUUUAGAUGUUAUUAAGUGGUACCUCUGGUACCAGUACGGAAUGAGAGCAUAUUCCCCAUUUGGGCUCUCAGUACCAUCCUACAGACUAAAUUUCAUGUUGGCACCAACACGUACUGAUAUACAGGACGCUGGUAUCCUGCCGUAAAAAUAGUUUUAUGUUUAUUUAGUUUAUAAAACUCACACAUGUACUUAUUAUUUUAAAGUGAAGUUUACUGCUUCAUAGGCGCAUUUGCAAUUAAUUUAAAAAUAUAAGUGUAAAAAACAUAGUUGCGAAUGCAAUGCAUGAGAAAUUGCUUAAUUUCACACUAUUAUGUACAUU